GAUGAACGCUGACAGAAUGCUUAACACAUCAGCAAUUGAUUGGUGGCGGACGGGCGAGUAAGGCGUACAGAACUUGCCUCACAGCUAGGGACAACAUUUGGAAACGAAUGCUAAUACAUAACACUGUGAGAGAGCUUUGCGUCCCUUUAGCUAGUUGGAGAGGUAACGGCUCACCAAGGCGAUGAUGGGUAGACGGCCUGAGAGGGUGAUCGGCCACGAGGUGACUGGGACACAGCCCUUACUCCUACGGGAGGAAGCAGGGGGGUAUAUUGGACAAUAGACCAAAGUCUGAUCCAGGAAUUCUGUGUGAACGAUGAAGCUUUCGGAAUGUAAAGUGCUUUCAGUUGAGAAGCGGUACCAACAGAAGAAGUGACGGCUAAAUACGUGCCAGCAGCCGCGGUAAUUC
rnacentral:rRNA from 1 species